CAGCCGAGACAAAUCAACAUCAGAAAGAUCUUAGCAGCUCUACUACAGUGGAAGACCUAUUGACUUAAUAUCGGUUAAUCAGGUCUUAGUGUUUGCAACUUGAGCUCUUCAUAAGAGGUAAUCGAACAAUUGGCCAGGUAAGCAGGUGGGAGGCUCCCCUUACUCAGAGAGUAAGGUCCUAAUUAAGUAACCACUUUUCAUGCUUUCCUAGACACCAAUUAGAUCAAUUAAUCUAAUAUGACCCGCUCAUGUUGGUUCACUCUCGACUUGAUUGAGGAGGUUUUAGUUUAGGUCUCUUUCGAUUGGCAACUCGCAUCUUAUGCACACUUCCAUCUACCCGCUAUGCAUAGGCAUAAACUUUAAACAUCCAGGCAUAUAUAUAAGAAAGUAAAUGUAACUGGUGAUGAUCAUGGAUCCAGGAUGGGUCAUAGUACAAUCACAUGCACGUCAAUUAGUUUGAUCGUCUUCAACUCUUGACUCGAUCUUGAUCCCUUAGGUUCAAUUGUAAUCAACUCCUUGAUCCAUCUUCAAUCAACCUAUGAUCUCAAUCCGCGCAAGGCUUGCUUGUAGGAGGCAUACAUCGAUCAACCAUCGACGUGCAACAUACAUCACAGAUUACAUCCCAGAUAAAAUUCAAAAAUAAAAGAAUAAUUACAACCCUUUUUCGAUGAGACACGCAGGUCUCUAAUACAUGAAUUUAAGAUGCUCGCAGGCAUCUGGAAAAAUGAUUUACAUGUUAUCACAUAACAUCACAGAUUACAUCGCAGAACAUUUCAGCACAUUCACAAAAGGGUCAUCCAUGAUCAUCACCAUUCGCAUCACAUGCAUAAUUUUAAUUUACAGAUCUGAAACUUAAUUGAUUACCUCAUCUCAUGAGUCGCUGAUCAUGCAAGGGAUGAUUCUUAAAUAAUUGUAAUCAUAUUAAUUACAUAACAGAAUCAUUAAUCAAUGCAUACCAAAAUUCAGCAUGCAGAAAAAUUCUGCAGCCUGAAAUUCUGCAUGCAUAAAAAUCAGCAGGCAUAAUC
rnacentral:lncRNA from 1 species